rfam:Streptomyces sp. MMG1121 P433contig19.1, whole genome shotgun sequence.
CAUCUCAAGGGUCCGUACGCUCCGUUUGUAAUGACGGCCUAAGGAAGCUGGUGAGAUUCCAGCACGGUCGCGCCACUGUGAACAGCCCCACUCAAGGGUGGGGCUGGAGUCAGACACUGGGCCGUCGCGACGCUCCACU